GAUGGAUUCUUCGGAUGAUAGAUUAACUGGAAAGCGGCGGACGGGUGAGUAACGCGUGGGUAACCUACCCCAUACACAGGGAUAGCCAUUGGAAACGAUGAUUAAUACCUGAUAACACAUAAUGGUCGCAUGACUAUGAUGUCAAAGAUUUAUCGGUAUGGGAUGGACCCGCGUCUGAUUAGCUAGUUGGUGAGGUAAAAGCUUACCAAGGCGACGAUCAGUAGCCGACCUGAGAGGGUGAUCGGCCACACUGGAACUGAGACACGGUCCAGACUCCUACGGGAGGCAGCAGUGGGGAAUAUUGCACAAUGGGCGCAAGCCUGAUGCAGCAACGCCGCGUGAGCGAAGAAGGUCUUCGGAUCGUAAAGCUCUUUUCUUAGGGAAGAAAAAUGACGGUACCUAAGGAAUAAGCACCGGCUAAAUACGUGCCAGCAGC
rnacentral:rRNA from 1 species